rnacentral:rRNA from 1 species
CCUACGGGAGGCAGCAGUGAGGAAUAUUGGUCAAUGGUCGGGAGACUGAACCAGCCAAGCCGCGUGAGGGAUGAAGGUACAGAGUAUCGUAAACCUCUUUUGUCAGGGAACAAAGGCGGGGACGUGUCCCCGGAUGAGUGUACCUGAAGAAAAAGCAUCGGCUAACUCCGUACCAGCAGCCGCGGUAAUACGGAGGAUGCGAGCGUUAUCCGGAUUUAGUGGGUUUAAAGGGUGCGCAGGCGGUCUGUUAAGUCAGCGGUCAAAGCCCGGGGCUCAACCCCGGCCCGCCGUUGAAACUGGCAGUCUCGAGUUGGAGAGAAGUAUGCGGAAUGCGCGGUGUAGCGGUGAAAUGCAUAGAUAUCGCGCAGAACUCCGAUUGCGAAGGCAGCAUGCCGGCUCCACACUGACGCUGAGGCACGAAAGCGUGGGUAUCGAACAGGAUUAGAUACCCCUGUAGUC